AGUAGAUGAGGGGAAAGCGGUGGAUGUUGUGUAGCUUGACUUCAGCAACUCAAGUGUGCUGUCUUCCACAAUAUCCACCCUCAGACUUUCAAAUUCAGCCUGGAUUUAAAGUGUUGUGGGCACAGUUUGGUAUGCAAGCUAGAAAUGUGAUGGCCUCCGAAUGCAGAAGACAGCAGACCAUCUUGGGGCUACUGAAGCAGUUUGCUAUGAGGCUAAGCUGUCAUCGCUGCCAAAUGCACUGGGCUUAUGCAAGAUGAAGAAUUUCUUAGAGAAGAACAAAUUCAUCCUGGUAUUAACAGCUCCUAUAAUUGAGGAAAUUGAAAGCAUCUGAAAUAAAGAUGAACAAAUCAGAUGUCUACCAUUUAUCACACGUAGUGAACACCUAAGUCUUCACAGCUUUUUUUCUACAAAAAAUUUGCUUCUAUAAUCUGUGAUGUCAAUCCACAAAUUGGAAAUCCCAUACUGCAGUAUUUCCUCUCCUAUGUGAGACAAUGCACAGGAUGUUCUUUCUGUUUUUCUGCUCUUUUUACCCUCCCACUUCCAUUAUUUAUUUCCUUAUUGUAUUUCUCUGUUGACUCACUGAUCCUGUUUUCCACUGCAAAACAUUGACUUUAUAACCAUGUCUUUUGAGUCACUGGUUUGAAUGGGUCAAAUUUUCAGCUGAGACAAAUAAAAA